GGCACCAUGGUAUUCACCAGUAAGAAGAAAGAAAACCACAUCAGGUGUCAUAUGGCAUGAGAACAUUAUAGAAGUUCUUUGGCAAGAUACGUUGGAGUCCCUCUGGCCAUGGAGUUUUUUCUAAUCUUCCAUCUUAUCAUCUGUUACAACUUCAUUGCAAAAGGUGUGAAAGAGAGGGAAAUUAAGUUGGUAAAUAUUUCGAAGCCAAGUUUCUAA
rnacentral:lncRNA from 1 species